rnacentral:lncRNA from 1 species
GUCGCGACAGGACUCCCACCUGCAACAAGAUGAAGCAAAGUAGAAGUACAGAACAAAAGAAGACCCCAACUUUUAUUAGUUACUAAUCCUCCAAACUACACCCCUAGAACUACAUCACAACUACAUCAUGACUACAUCAUUGACACAUCACAAAAAGGAGGGGUUGAGGGAGGAGUUGUGGAGGUAACCUGAGUAUCUUGUCACCUGGCUGGUUCCUCCUCUCCCCCUCCCCAUGAGUUAUUUCCAGAGGACAACAGGGAGUUGCCAGUUUCCUGCCCCCAGAGGGAAGAUCUGAUCAUUGUCCUUUGUUCUAGUCCGUGUUGAAUCCACUCCCAUAUGUAAGUCCUUUGUGACCUUGAUGGUCUUCUGUCUAGGACCAUCAGGGUUGGCAUGGCAACUGGGCAGGGCUCCUGUGUAUGUGCUGGUAUGCUCAAGGGAUUAUGGCUGGCCUGUAUCAAACCUUCCCCAUUUUGUAGUCCUUCCUUCAUGGAGUAAAAUAAAAGUGGAAUGGUGCAGAUCCGAUGUAUGGUUGAUUUUCUAUGAAUUUAUAACAGAAGCGUAGCAUAUGUCGUGUGUGAGUGUGUGUGCGUCGAGUUUGUACAAACUGAAUGAUUUUUUUUUUGGGGGGGGGUCGUGUGACACAUGUGAGCAGUUUAAGGCUAAUAGGAGAUGUUGCAGCUCCACGAGCAAGGGCAUGUCAAAAUAUUCCCUGAAUUCAUGGUCCCUCCAUCUGCGUUGACUUUCCUCCAAAAGGAAUUUCAAGCAGCAUUUUGCUGAACCAGUAUAUGUUUUAGCUAAGGUAAGGUUGUCACCUUUGGUGGGGCCAAAAAAGGGACAGGUUGGGGGGGAUUUAGGAAGCUAAAAUUACUUCUACCCGGUGCAGAAAUGACUUCAAAGCAAUCCAUUAUGAUGAUCAAAUGGAAGCUCUCAAUAACUGCAAACAUUCCAACUAGAAAACUGAAAGGAAAUGCUCCCCACCUGCUGAAUUUCUGCCUGCCAGAAGGAUGGCUAAUAAUAAUAAUAAUAAUAAUAAUAAAUAAUUUUAUUUCUACCCCGCCCUCCCCAGCCAAGGCCGGGCUCAGGGCAGCUAACAAGCAAUAAUAAAAACAAGUUGAAUGAAUACAACUUAAAAACAAGAUUAAAAUACAUUAAAACAUUAAAAAGCAGCCUCAUCACAGGAGGAAAAAGGAAAAAGAAAGAGGGAAGGAGUCAAAUUGACUCCAAGCCAAAGGCCAGGUGGAACAACUCUGUCGGAAAGAAAUCAGAUCCUGCAGAGCCCUGGUCUCAUGAGACAGAGCGUUCCACCAGGCCGGAGCCAGGGUUGAAAAACCCUGGCUCUGGUUGAGGCUAAUCUAACUUCCUUAGGGCCCGGGACCUCUAGUGUGUUGCUAUUUAUGGACCGUAAGGUCCUACUGGGAGAGGCAGUCCCGUAGGUAUGAGGGUCCUAGGCCGUGAAGGGCUUUAAAGGUCAAAACCAGCACCUUAAAUCUGACCCUGUACUCCACCGGGAGCCAGUGCAGCUGGAAAAGCACUGGGUGAAUAUGCUCCCAUGGCAGAGACCCUGUGAGGAGCCCAGAAACCCAGCCAAAAAAAGAAAGGGGGAGAGAGAGUGCAACACAGUCUGCUUCUCUUACUCACAGAGCUUUGCCUCCAACAUCUCAAGAGGGUUCACAUAACCCCUCAUCCCCAUGAGAUCUCCAAUAUAUGAAGGUUAUGAUGCUUUGAUGCCCAGGGAUGGACAGAUUAUUAUUAUUAUUUAUUAAAUUUGUAUGCCGCCCUUCAUCUGGGCAAUUUCAACGACAGAACCCUGAACGUAAGAAAUCCUCCUUUGCAGCCUCCGCCCGAUCCAUUCUAGAGGUGGAAAUAAGCAAAGAGAAUCCUUAAACACCCAUGGGAGAGAGAGUGAGACUUAGAUUUGAAAUAUUUGAAGAUUUGAGAAGUGAGGUUACAGGGAAUCAGGCAGAGGGCCUUCUUGGUAGUGGCGCCUGCCCUGUGGAAUGCCAUCCCAGCAGAUGUCAAGUCAAUAAAAGGUAAAGGGACCCCUGACCAUUAGGUCCAGUCGUGGCUGACUCUGGGGUUGCGGCGCUCAUCUCGCUCUAUAGGCCGAGGGCGCCGGCAUACAGCUUCCGGGUCAUGUGGCCAGCCUGACUAAGCCGCUUCUGGCGAACCAGAGCAGCACACGGAAAUGCCAUUUACCUUCCCGCCAGAGUGGUACCUAUUUACCUACUAGAACUUUGACGUGCUUUCGAACUGCUAGGUUGGCAGGAGCAGGGACCAAGCAACGGGAGCUCACCCCGUCGUGGGGAUUCGAACCACCAACCUUGUGAUUGGCAAGUCCCAGGCUCUGUGGUUUAACCCACAGCGCCACCCUCGUCCCUGUCAAGGCAAUAAACAACUAUUUAAAAGACAACUGAAGGCGCUGUUUAGGGAAGUUUUCAAUGUCUGAUGCUGUAUUGUUUUUAAUAUUGGUUUGGAAGCCGCCCAGAGUGGCUGGGGAAACCCAGCCAGAUGGGAGGGAAUAAAUAAAUUAUUAUUAUUAUUAUUAUUAUUAUUAUUAUUAUUAUUAUUGAGGCUGCUGCACCAGGAAACAUUUCUCUUGUUCUCUUAGAGCAGGCAUGGCCAAGCAUGGUCCUCCAGAUGUUUUGGGACUACAAUUCCCAUCAUCCCUGACCACUGGUCUUGUUAGCUAGGGAUGGUGGGAGUUGUAGUCCCAAAACAGCUGGAUGGCCAAGUUUGGCCACGCCAUUGGCAAGAGCCUUUGGCAGGAGCUCCACCCAACCCAGAAGAGCCUGCUGGCUGGCGAGCUCCAUUGGCUAGCCUGGAACAUCAAUCAGCCAGCUUUGGAGGGCGGGCUAAACUUCGGAAGUGCUAGCAAGUUAGGCUGUGCAAGAUAAGCAAGCUUUUUAUUUUUAUUUUUUUUAAAGAAUAAUUUAAAUGGGACAGAAGCAUCCCAAAUGGAACAGGGGACUCUGUGCCCACAAAACAGAACAAAUCCGUAUUUUAAAAGACGGGUGGCAACCCUAGUUUUAGCCAUUCCUGGGAUGUCCAUAGUUUUCAUCUGCAUUUCCAAGUCAAUGAAAGCUGUGAUUCUGGUGUGGCAAUUCAACAGCCAUCCUGUAAUCCCAGCAUAUGCUAGGCUUUGAUAAUUUAUUCCAAUAGGACAUGAAACGAGACUAACAAUAUUCAUGAGAGAAAAGCAAAUACAGAGUGCUCUGUGAACAGGCCUUUAUAUAUAACAUUCGUUUUGUGCUGUAAAUUGCAUUAUCGGUGUGUAUUAAAUCUGUAACUCAUAGUAGCUAGGAAAUGAAUAUCAAAAUACGAAUUUAAAGGGGGGAGGGAGUUAUUAAGCCCCAAUGGUAAGUUUAAAAAUAAGGAAAUUUAAUCAUCUCUCUCUUUUCUGCUUAUUGGAUUACAGUAGAGAGUGAGCUGAGCAAAAGACAAUCAAGAUAGAUGGAAGGAACCGGCAUACAGUAACUUAAAAGAUUUUCGAUGAAUAAAACAGC